GAUCAAUGGCUCAGGAUGAACGCUAGCUACAGGCUUAACACAUGCAAGUCGAGGGGCAGCAUGGUCUUAGCUUGCUAAGACCGAUGGCGACCGGCGCACGGGUGAGUAACGCGUAUCCAACCUGCCUUACACUCUUGGACAGCCUUCUGAAAGGGAGAUUAAUACAAGAUGUUAUCACGAGUAAGCAUUUUCGCAUGAUUAAAGGUUUACCGGUGUAAGAUGGGGAUGCGUU
rnacentral:rRNA from 1 species